rnacentral:tmRNA from 1 species
GGGGGCGUUUAGAUUCGACAGGGUCGUAGGGUUUGAGGCUGCAUGUAGAGGUCGCUUGGCACCUCUUUAAACACUGAGCAAAAAAACAAAUGCAAACAACAACGUUGUAGCAUUCCGCAAACCAGGCGCUUUGCGCUUGGCUGCUUAGUCUUUAAGACCAAGUAGUAGGAAACUUAGCGGUAGCUUGACUACCCGCCGUCGCUAGGUCAAUCAAGGUGGUUGCUGUUGGGCGAAAUUAGCAGUUGUUAGCCCGACCUAAAGACAUAAUUGCAAUCCCGGGUGGUCGUUCGAACCUAUCGCAGCGGUUCUGUGGAAAUGUCGAACUAAACGUGUAGAUGCCUUGGGCUCCGCUUCUUUGGACGCGAGUGCGAUUCUCGCCGCCUCCACCA